rfam:Schistosoma mattheei strain Denwood, Zambia genome assembly, scaffold: SMTD_scaffold0002879
AUCCAGCUGACGAGUCCAAAUAGGACGAAACGCGCGUCAAACUAGAU